UAGGGAAUCUUCCGCAAUGGGCGAAAGCCUGACGGAGCAACGCCGCGUGAGUGAUGAAGGUCUUCGGAUCGUAAAACUCUGUUAUUAGGGAAGAACAAAUGUGUAAGUAACUAUGCACGUCUUGACGGUACCUAAUCAGAAAGCCACGGCUAACUACGUGCCAGCAGCCGCGGUAAUACGUAGGUGGCAAUCGUUAUCCGGAAUUAUUGGGCGUAAAGCGCGCGUAGGCGGUUUUUUAAGUCUGAUGUGAAAGCCCACGGCUCAAACGUGGAGGGUCAUUGGAAACUGGAAAACUUGAGUGCAGAAGAGGAAAGUGGAAUUCCAUGUGUAGCGGUGAAAUGCGCAGAGAUAUGGAGGAACACCAGUGGCGAAGGCGACUUUCUGGACAUAAUCUGACGCUGAGGUACGAAAGCGUGGGUAGCAAACAGG
rnacentral:rRNA from 1 species